rnacentral:rRNA from 1 species
UACGUAGGCAGCGAGCGUUGUUCGGAGUUACUGGGCGUAAAGCGUGCGUAGGCGGUGUUCCAAGUCUGUUGUGAAAUCUCCCGGCUUAACUGGGAGGGUGCGGCGGAAACUGGGACGCUGGAGUGCGGGGAGAGGUAAGCAGAAUUCCUGGUGUAGCGGUGAAAUGCGCAGAUAUCGGGAGGAACACCAGUGGCGAAGGCGGCUUCCUGGACCGGAACUGACGCUGAGGAGCGAAAGCGUGGGGGAGCGAUCCGG